rnacentral:misc_RNA from 1 species
AACUAUCAAAAUGCCCCUUUUUGGGGGAUGUUUUGGACUUUGGGAUUGCUGCUCUGCUUGAGCCAGCUCUCCUCAAAAGCAUUUAGCUUUGGAGACCAUCAGUGUGAUAACUCUGUUUUCACUGAUUGAGUUGUGUCUCUGCUUUUG